rnacentral:lncRNA from 1 species
UACCAUCUUUUCUUGUGAAAAAAGACUACAAAAGAUUAUACGAUUUUUUCUACGAAUCGGCCGGUUCGGUUCUUGAUGAAGCUGAAAAAAUGGGCAUUUCACGUGAAGAAGCUUGUCAUAAUCUUUUAUUCGCUACGUGCUUUAAUACCUUCGGCGGCAUGAAAAUCUUCUUCCCCAACAUAUUGAAAUGGAUCGGUAAUGCCGGACCGGACCUACACCGUUCAUUAGCAAAAGAGAUCAGGUCGGUGAUCAAAUCCAAUGGUGGAGAAUUAAGUUUGGGUGCAAUGGAACAAAUGCCGUUGAUGAAAUCGGUGGUGUACGAAGCUUUCCGUAUUGAACCACCGGUGCCGGCGCAAUAUGCA